GUGGCUCUUUUUGCCCUUCAGGCUUUCUUCACCAUUGUGAUGCAUUAAUGAAGUAGAGCUCCCUGUCAGACUUCAUCAGCAGUCUUGUGAAGGCAGAAUGAAAUCACUUCUAUUGACCCACUGGCAUAUUUAUAGGCUCCUUCUUUUUUGCUGAGUAUGGCAGUUAUCACCUUUCCAUCCCCAUGUUGUGUUUAUUCAGCAGAAAGCUAAAUCACAUCUGUGCACAAGUGGAACAUUAAUCAGUAAACGACCAAAGAGUGGACUUGGCCUUGAAUGACACUAUUUCAAGUGAUUUUCAAGCUUCAUCUCUGUUUGUAAAAAGCUUUUGGCAUUUCCUUAUAAAAAGGGAGUCUAUUCAGCCAGGGAAAUGAUACAGCCUGAGAUUAUUUACAUUCCUUGUGCUGUCAGAUAAGAGAAAGGAGAUCAUGUCUACAUGGAUGUGUGUAAAUGCAAUUAUAGAACAAGAAUCAUGGACAUCUCUUCAUCAUCAUCUAAUAGCAACGCAGUUACCACAAAGCCACCAAACAUCAAUUUAGCCCUCAAACAGUGAAGAUGUCAGGGAAGCAGAGAAGGCUGAUGCCAUCUGAGUGAGGACUACUUCUGUUAGGAAUGCUCAGCUCUCCAGUUACAGCACAGUUUUGAUGUUUGAAGUAAUACCUACUACAUGCUUUCAGAAGAAGACCACCACAGAACUUCAAGACCAGGCAUUAUUUCUUGGUCUUACAAUUCCAAGCAAACAAGACAAGGGAGAAUGUGCACUUGUAAGCUUGGGUAACUUUUUGCCCUGUCACCUGCCAUUCUUCAGCUUGCACUGGAAGCAAUAAAUUCAGAUACUCAGUUCCCAUCUAAACUCAUGAUUGGAGACAAUUAGAGACUUGGAGUGUGUUUUCCAUGUCCUCAUUUAGCUAUUUUAUCUCCAGAUUCUAUGAUUUAAUAUUAUGUCAGAAACAGCACUCUUGGUGAGGGAUCCAUAUCUCUCAAGAUUAGACGGCUCAUUUUAUUUGGUCAGUUCUACCUUUAGAAAAACAAACAUUCCUUUGACAGUACCCUAUGGUUUCUUGAGAUCAAAUACUGGCUGUUCUUUGUCUUAAA